CGCAUCUGUGCAUGCAGCAUAUCAAUAAGCGGAGGAAAAGAAACUAACAAGGAUUCCCCUAGUAACGGCGAGUGAAGCGGGAAGAGCUCAAAUUUGAAAUCUUAAAGGGUUUCCCUUUACGAAUUGUAGUUUAAAGAAGUGUUUUCUGUUGGAGGUUUCGGUAAAAGUUCUUUGGAAUAGGACAUCAUAGAGGGUGAGAAUCCCGUAUUUGGUUAUUCAUUCUAACUUUGUGAUACACUUUCAAAGAGUCGGAUUGUUUGGGAAUGCAGUCCAAAAUGGGUGGUAAAUUUCAUCUAAAGCUAAAUAUUGGCGAAGAGACCGAUAGCGAACAAGUACCGUGAGGGAAAGAUGAAAAGAACUUUGAAAAGAGAGUUAAACAGUACGUGAAAUUGUCAAAAGGGAAGCGUUUGACACCAGUGUUGUUUUUCUGAAAAUCAAUUAAAGAACUGUUUAUGCUAAGUUGUUUAGACUUUAUCAGCUAACUGUUUAGUUUUGAGCUUUUCUUUAAUGCACUUUUCAGUUAACAAGUCAACAUCAAUUUCUUUUGCUGUAAAAAAGCUUGAGGAAGGUGGCUUGAGAUUCGUCUUAAGUGUUUAUAGCCUCUUGCCUAUGCAGUCGGAGAGAUUGAGGUCUGCAGCGUAGAUCCUUCGGGGCUAAAUGCAUUUGUGCUAAGUUAUAAGCAUUUUAUAGACAACUUGUUGACUAUGAUUUGUCUUGUAGCUUACUCGCUUAUGUUAUUUUACCUACGCUUAGGAUGUUGACAGCAGUAUAGACUGU
rnacentral:rRNA from 1 species